GGGAUGCCCAAAGAAUAAGUUCUUUCUUUCCCUAUCUCUUUCUUAAGCACUUUUUAAAUUGUGAAAAUAAAGCAUAUACACAAGUCAGAAAAACAUGUACAGCCAAACACAUUUGUUUAAAACAAAUACCUCUAUAAAACCAAAUCAAGGGUCCAACAUCAGCAGCCCAGUAGUCCUACAUCCUAGACUUGGAGAGCCCCCCCCCUUUUUUUAAAUAUCAUUUUUUAUUGUUGUUGUUUAUGUUUUAUGUGGUGAUGGGGAUUAAACUCAAGGCCUCAUGCUUGCUAGGCAGGUGCUUUUCCACUGAGCUACUCCCCAGCCCCUUGGAGAGUCCCUUGUUGAUCACAGUCUUCCCUCCCAACCAAAGAUAAUGAUCACCCAAACUUAUUUGGUAAAUAUCUUAAUUUUUCCUUGUUUUUUACUACCUAGGUAUGCAUUCUUAAAACUUUCAUUCAUGCUUUAACAUUCAUUUUAUUUUGCCUGGAUUCUAAAACACCAUAAUUUCAUUUCAUUUUGCCUGGUUUAAAACUUUUUAGAAAUGGAAUAGUACAUUUUGUAUCUGGUAUCCCUCAACAUGUUUGUGAGAUUUCUUUAUGUUGUUGGACAACACUGUAAUUCAUUUCAUUGUUGUAUAAUAUUCUAUCAUGUGACUCCACAAAAAUGUACAUUCUAAAGCUGACAAAUAUUGAGGUUCUUUCCAGUUUGGGUUAUUACAAAUAAUACUUUGUUUAAUCCCACAUAGGUCCCUUGGUACAUAUUUGCAGAUAUUUUUCUGAGAUGUAUUCCUAUAAGAUAGGAUGGGUGCAAAUUCACCUGUGCUAGAUAAUGCCAAAUGGUUUUCAAAAGUAACCAUACCAUUUUCUUUUCUUUUUUUCUCACCUCAGCAGUAUAUAAGAGUUCCUGUUAUUUUACAUUCUCCUCAAUACUUCAACCAUUUUAAUUUUAUUAAUCUUGUGCAUGUGCAAAAGAAUCUCCAUGGUUUUCUUUUGCAUUUCCCUAAUUACAAAUGAGAUUGAGCACCUUUUUAUGUUCUUAUUGGCUAUUUGAAAUUCCUCUUUUAUGAAGUGUUCACUCAAGUUUUUUGAACUACUAAAUUGUCUUUUUCUUGUUGAUUUGUAGGAAUAUUUUAUGUCUUUUGCAUAAGAAUCUCUUGUCAGUUAUAAAUGUUUUACAUAUCUUCUCCCAUUCUGUGACUUACUCUUUUAGUGGUGUCUUUAGAUGAACAUAAGUUCUUAAAACUAAUGUGUUCCAGUUGAAUAAAUAUAUUCCUUCAUGGGUAGUGCUUUUUCUGCCAGGAUUGAGAAAUCUUUCCCUACCCUAAGAUUAUAAUGUUAUUCCCUGUAAUUUCUAACAACUUCAUUAUUUUGCUUGCAUAGUUAAAUCUUUAAUAUAGCUGGAAUUGAUUUUUGUUCAAGAUGUGGGAUAAGGGACCAGUUUAAUUUUCCACUUAUGUAUUCACAGUUCUUAAACCAUUUAUUCUUUCACCAGUGCAUGAUGUGAUGACUACAUAUACAUAGGUCUAUGUCUGGACUAUCUCUUUU
rnacentral:lncRNA from 1 species